rnacentral:rRNA from 1 species
UGGGGAAUCUUGCGCAAUGGCCGCAAGGCUGACGCAGCGACGCCGCGUGGGGGAGGAAGGCCUUCGGGUUGUAAACCCCUGUUGCCCGGGACGAACGAGUGGAUUCAUCCACUGUGACGGUACCGGGUGAGGAAGCACCGGCUAACUCCGUGCCAGCAGCCGCGGUAAUACGGAGGGUGCGAGCGUUGUCCGGAAUCACUGGGCGUAAAGGGCGCGUAGGCGGCCUGGUAAGCGUGCGGUGAAAGCCCGGGGCUCAACCCCGGGUCGGCCGUGCGAACUGCGAGGCUGGAGCACUGUAGAGGCGGGUGGAAUUCCGGGUGUAGCGGUGGAAUGCGUAGAGAUCCGGAAGAACACCGGUGGCGAAGGCGGCCCGCUGGGCAGUGGCUGACGCUGAGGCGCGACAGCGUGGGGAGCAAACAGGAUUAGAUACCCCCGUAGUCC